UUUUUUUUUACUUUUCAUAUGUAAAUUGUAAAAUAAUUUUCAGAAAGUAAAAAAAAAACAUCUAAGUGUAUUAAAAUCUAGAGAAGCUUGUUUCAGUGACACUUAUUUACCUUAAAAUCCAAGUUUCAACAUAAGGAAGUUCAUUAUAGUAGGAUUUCUGCAGCUUGUUUUGGUCUCUGACUAUGCUCUCUGCUAAUUAUGAAACUUGGUGUGGGAGUGCAGUCAGUGGACGGACAAAGACCUGAGGAGAUUGCAGUGCAGCAGCAGAGGUCACACAUUCUUCAGAUUGACAGGAGGGGAGAGAUUUUCUGCUGGACAGGGUUCCUGAAAACCAUAAAAGAAUGCAUAUACCCACGAACAAAUUUACACCUUUGUGUAUGCAUAUACCUUUGUUAAUGCACUUUUGGGAUUACAUUGGAAAGGAAUUUCUGGAAUCAAAUAGAGCUUAAAAAAACGUAUAACCAGUAAACAGUAUUUCUGCACUUAGGAUGCACAAAGUGAUGUCAGGAAAUAUGGUUCUUCCUGUAAGAGCUGCAGACUGCUUCAUCUCUAAACCAAAACAUUGUGACUGUAUGCCAACCACAACAAUAUUGACAACAAAACUCUUCAAUCAAUUCAAGGAAGUAGUCUGGUGUCACACACACACUUCCUGAACAACUAGAUAACAUCAAGACAUUUAAGAUCUAUUUUUUUGUUUUGUUUAAUAAUAGUCUUAUAAUUGUGUAUUUACCAUAAUGUAUGGGGGUUUUUUUGCAUUUACUGUAGAUUGCAUGUAUAUUGUGUUUGCAUGUUACUGUUACUCUCCUGCAUGUACAUUGAGAAAGUAUUAUAGCAUAAGCCUAAUGGAGGCCUAAAUCAGCUUUUAUUGUCACACAGUACACUAUAUACAACACAGUGAAAUUACUCUGCAUUUAACCUUUAUUAGGAGCAGUGGGUAGCUACUAGGCCUUUAGAGCACCCGUGGGGUCUGGUGCACUUCUCCAGGUACCAGUCCACAGUCCGACCUUGGUCUGUGUGGGGAUUUGAACCGGCGACCCUCCGGUUCCCAAGCCAAGUCUCCACUGCCCCCCUAAUGAUGAUACGCUAAACCUGUAAGCCUUGAGAAACGUAUUCCUUCCUAUUCAACUGUUGCCUAGUAACGCCAGUGCCAGGAAUUGGGAGGUAACUACAGUAACUAACGUUAGUUAUAUUUCCUGCUAUUUAAAAACAACUGAACAAUUACUAUUUUCAUUUAAUUCACAUUAUAUUUGGCAUGUUGUUGACAAAUGUCCAGUAGAAUGAAACGCUUUAACUUUAUAGCUGCUUUAACUGAAGCUAACUGAAUUAAUCUAGUUAUUUAUUUCUUCUCAUACUGUUAUUUGUAAAUGAAACUAUCUAUAUUUGAUGAGCCAACAUCUUGGUGGGCCAGAGCUCUGGUAUUGUACAUGCUGACUCACUGGAAUGGCUGUGACACUAACUACAACUGCUAUGACAUGUCAAAUGGCUGCUGUGAAAAGGGCCUAUUGGUGUAGCUGUGUGAGUUCUGUCAAGGCUUCUUGAAAGCAGAA